UUCACCAUGGCAACGAGUGAUAAGAAAAGAUCGUCAUAUUUCAGUCCUCUGGAACUGGAUAUAUUAAUGCGGUCAUACGGCGAAUUUGAAAGCAACACGGCUGCAGCAGCGAAAGAACGCGAGUCGGCGUGGGAGAAGAUUACUGCUCGAGUCAAUGCAUGUAAUCCCACCGGCGAAAAAAGAACGUGGAAGCAGCUGAAGAUGAAAUAUAAAAACAUUGUUCAAACAGCCAACAGAAAGCGGGCAUCUGCCCGCAAAACUGGCGGAGGACCACCCCCACCACGUCUGACCGAGGCAGAGGAGCAGGCCAUGAGUCAGACUGUCGGGAGGCCAGUCGCAGAGGGGAUCCCUGGAGGGACCUCAUCCUCGGACAUGAUUACACAGGAGCCACCAGCUUUGAUAAGAUGUAAUAGGCCUAGGCCUCAAACUUUUUUGGGGCCUAUAUUUCAAUGUUAAUUUCCCUUUCAUGUGUUUUUCUUUUGUCUCAACAGAUUCUGAAGGCGUACUUGGUCUAGUGGAUCCAUGUGCCACUUUAACUGAUGAUGAAGAUGAUGGGACCACAAUGUCUGCUGCCUUCUCUGUGGUGUCUGAGAGGGAGCCCGAGAGGCCUACAGAGAGCAUGGCUGGGCAGCAGGAAGAGGGUCCCUCAACCUCCACAGCACAGAUUGACACACUACCACUAAAAGAAAUCUACAAAGUGCAUUUAUUAAAAACAGUACAAAAAACAGAAAAUGAAAUGGUGCUGCUGGACCGCCAGAUAACUAAAACGGAUCUGGAAAUUGAAUUAUUAAAACACAAGUUAGAGGUGGGUGCAUGGUCAUAGGUGAAUUGUGUUGAUGAUUGUAACAAUUAAAAAGUAAGAAACCAUUUUUUUUUCUUAUUUGUAGGAAAUAAAGAAGACCAAAU